rnacentral:lncRNA from 1 species
CAAAGGGCCUCUUGUGAGCAGCUAGAUUUCUCAAACUGCCCUCCUGAAAAACAAUCUCUGCUUGCGCCCAAGAGUUUGAGGCUGCGGUGAGCUGUGAUGGUGCCACUGCGCUCCAGCUUGGAUAACAGAGCAAGACCCUGUCUCAAGAAAGAGAAAGAAAAGAAAAAAGAAAACAAAGAAAAAAGAAAAACGAUCUCCAGGGAGGAAGAGGAAGAGCUUUAUAAUUGCCUCAUAAGUUUUUGUGUGAAAAGAUGAUUAGAAACUGAGACCUUCUCCAAACUCCUGCUUUCACCUAAGCUGGACCAGGUCUACAGUCACCUGCUGGCUUCAUAACACAUUGCCAGUUUAAGCAACUCACAAGUGUAUGUGGACAUAAAAACAAGCUUCAUAUAUUGUGUGUCAUAGGGGACUGCCCUACCUGCCAAGGGUCUCACUGGAUCUCUGUACUCAUUUCCUGUUGCCAGCUGGUGGACAAUAUGGUGCUAAGAACUCAAGAAGUUGGUCCUCACGUUGAACCUCAGAGGUCACCAAACCUUUCUGGAUAGCUGCUAGGGAGUUUCUGGAGGUGCUCAAUAGUGACAUAUGUCAAGUUGAGAAGGGACAGCUGAUCUUCCAGGGUAGAGAUGGAUCCACUCCCCACUCUCAUAAAGAAGAUGUGGGUUUGUUUGACCUUCACUAUAUAGGAAAAAGCCUCACAAAUUCUUCA